rnacentral:lncRNA from 1 species
CCGGGCUCGCGGCGGCGGCGGCGGCGGCGGCGGCGGCGGCGGCGGGACUGGCCCUGCGCCCGGGCACCGCCUGCGCUGCGCCGCCCGGCCUCACUCCGCGGCCCGCCAGGACCCGGCCCCGGUGAACGGGCUCGGGGUGCCGAGGUCCGGCUGCGGGGCCGGGAAGCCACCUCCACCUUGCCGUCUGUUACGACCCCCGAGGCGCAAGGCUGAGCCCCAUCUCGCUAUCCGGGUCCGGAGGGGUUCACCUUAGAAGGAUUUUUUGAAGCUCUUGGCGCUGGCUCUAAAAGAACCCACUUCCUUGCGGAUUUCAGGAGUCAAGAAUCCUUAAACGGAGCCAAUUUGCUUUGUAAAGCCAAUUGCCCAAGUGACUUGAGUUCGAAAGGAGAUACUUCCUGGACAACUGCUAUAAAAACAACAACAAAUACUUUUAUUAAUUCGGGGAGCCUGGUCACCAACUGGAUGCUCAGGGGAGAUGGAACCCUGAGCAGCCCAUGUACAUGGAAGAUCUUUAUUGCAGAGAUCUUCAAACCAGCUAGUGUGCAUUUACUCCUGCCUCUCCAUGCCUGAAGGAAGGAAUGAAGAGGUCUCUGCUGUCCAUCUGAGCCAGUGACUGGGCUGUCUCUACCAGGCCAGAAUUUGGGGCAGGCAAGAUUUUCAGCAUCCCUAAAAUCACACUAAGAAGAUAAACAUGGAAACAGCUUGGAGCUGCCCUACCCAUAGUGAGGUGGUACUGACUGGAAGACAGCUUAAACGAUUUGGAGAAAAGUGGAAUACAUUAAUCUCAGAAAACUCUACCACCUGUAGAAAGAGAGCUAAAAUGGAGACAACCACAGGCAGUCUAAGAUACGCUGAACUACUACAGAAAAUAAUGCAGCAUGAAGGAAUGCUGGAAGGUAUGGGGUCAGAGCAAGCUGAUGGAGGGUCCUUCAUUUCCAAGCCACGAGUACAGCAGGAUGUAAGGCUUAGUUCAUAAGAACAUCUCCUGAAAGACAAUCUCUAUAAAAACUGUUUCAAUAGAAAGAAUGCAAGAUGUAACUGUUUAAUAAUAGGACUGAUAUUUUAAAAAACAAAUGAACGUAAUAGAAGACUAGAUGGAUGUGCUUCUCAAAGUCCUCUCUGUGGGAGGCUUCAUCCUCACUCUAGAUGUGUUGCCUGUAGCAGCUGUUAUUGAUUACCCGCCCAUAGCCUAUCCAUACUUACUCAUCAUUCCUUUACCUACCAGUGGCAUCCUAUUGGAAGCACCUGCGACUUUCUUAGGGCUUUCUCUUGGCCAAGCAUUGGAAGGCCAGCAGUAUUGAAAAGUUAAUAGUCUUGGAAGCACUGGCCCUCAACUAAUGACAAAGAAAAAAUAUAAGAUAAAUUCCCCAGCUUCCUUGCCUCCUGAAUGGGUCAAGUCUGUGGUGUGUUCUACCCGUUUUUCAGAGGUCCCAUGUUUUAAACCCUAGCUGCUCAAGGCAAUUUCCUGAUCAUUGAUGUACUCUCUAUUGGCUAAUUUUUAGAUAAUAUGGAAUAUGCUCAAAAUAGGAUACUCAAAGAAAAAAUCAGAUGCCAAAAUUAUGUACACCGAAUGAGUUCAAUUCUGUAUAAGUGUGGACAUACACACAUCAAAAGAAAUAUGGAACAAAAGAUACUAAAUGUUUAUAGUGGUUAUUUCUGGGUGUUGAAAUUUUAAGUGAUUUUCCUUUUCUUC